rnacentral:rRNA from 1 species
UACGUAGGGUGCGAGCGUUGUCCGGAAUUACUGGGCGUAAAGCGCACGUAGGCGGUUAUAUAAGACAGAUGUGAAAUCCCCGGGCUCAACCUGGGAACUGCAUUUGUGACUGCAAGGCUAGAGUACGGCAGAGGGGGAUGGAAUUCCGCGUGUAGCAGUGAAAUGCGUAGAUAUGCGGAGGAACACCAAUGGCGAAGGCAAUCCCCUGGGCCUGUACUGACGCUCAUGCACGAAAGCGUGGGGAGCAAACAGG